rnacentral:rRNA from 1 species
UACGUAGGUGGCGAGCGUUGUCCGGAUUUAUUGGGUUUAAAGGGUGCGUAGGCGGUCCUAUAAGUCAGUGGUGAAAUAUCGCAGCUCAACUGUGAGGGUGCCAUCGAUACUGUAGGACUUGAGUGAAUUUGAGGUAGGCGGAAUUGACGGUGUAGCGGUGAAAUGCUUAGAUAUCGUUAAGAACACCGAUAGUGAAGACAGCUUACCAAGCUUCAACUGACGCUGAGGCACGAAAGUGUGGGGAUCAAACAGG